rnacentral:lncRNA from 1 species
CACACAUGGAAGAAAGUAUCUCAACAGCAUAGCACAUUCACAAACUAUGAAAACAAUAGCCUAGCCCAGUCCCUUGACAAGAUGUUUCUUGGAAGGAGGAAGACACAAAAUUCAACACUGGUGGAAGUUGUGGACAUUGCUAAAGGAGAAAGGUCCCAAUCCUAGAACAACUGUAGCACAUAUAGACUCCUGCAUGCCUUUGAGUUCAGUGGAUCUCUUCAAAGGCCUGCAGUCU